GGUCAAUUGUGUUUUGGAUAAAAGAAACGAAACGGGCGGAACAUUGGCGUUAUAAAAUAUUCUGUGUUCGGUGGUCGAAAAAAUGUGUCCAGAAUUGAAUUAAAUGUACACCCACAAUGCACAAUGGUUUUCAGUGGUUCAAUACUUGAAUAGUUAAUAUACCGAAAUGAAACGAACGGUAUUUACACUUUAUACGAUACAACACCCCACGUAAAUAUCGAAUUGUUACUCAUUUAAAACGUACGGGUUUCAUUGAAUCCGUUUGUAAUUAUCCCCGGACAUUUCAAUGCCGCAUUUUGUGAACAUUUCCGCCUAAUAGUAUUUUUUUUUUUUCUUAAAAUUACACGCGCGUGUCUUUUGCGCAGCAUUAAUCCAUUUCCUUUUACAGUUUUAAAACUUUCCAUCGUAACAAAAUUAUAUGCGCGUGAUAACAAGCUGAACGUUUGCAGUUCAACCAGAUCGCAUGAAACCAAAACAAUAUCUUUAAUCGUCGUCAUUGACAUUGUCGUGGGGAUAAAUACAGGACAAGUUUGAGAAUCCCAGAUUUUUAACGACCGUACGCCAAUAUUCCGCAUUCCAAAUGACCGUACCAAUUUCCCGACGAUCAGUGGCGAAUUUAAAGGCGGUCGGACCUCUUUGACUUUUUUUUUUAAAUAUUUUUAAUUUUAUGUCAUAAGAAUACGUUUAAUCUAUAAAAUACCAUACGCCACCGGCGUUUAACGUUUUAAUUCUCCCCGACGAUCUGGCACAGCCGUCGGUUGUUAUCGUUGUAUCAUUACGGGUUGUCGUCAAUCGACGUUCCGUAACUUAAACAAUAAUCAACACUGAAUAAAAAAAAAAAACAAACAAAAAUGGUCAAAGAAAAUUUUUACAGAGUCGACGAAAACGUAUUUAUUUUUCUUUCUAUUUUUACCUAAUGGGUUGUUUUUUUUUUUCUUCUCUUUCGCCUUUAUACCGUAGGGUAGGUACUUGUACAAUAUAGGUAUUGAAAUAAAUAAACCGUGCGGGGGCUCGUGUUCCGUAUAAAAGGUCGCGUAUCCGGCAGGGGGUCGGGAAAGGUAUACACGGAUGAUGACAUCGACACCGGAUGAAUAUAAUAAGGGGAAAGAAAAAAAA